ensembl:lncRNA
GCAUUGAGCUGAGCAACACAACUGGGGGAGCUGGACAGGGGCAGCUGCCACUGCUCAGAGGUCGUCUGGGCAUCAGUCAGUAGGUGUUCUCUCACCCAUCCCACUGCCAAGGGGAUCAAGUGAACAGCUGCAUGCUGCGGAGCUGCUCGCUGGUUAAAUCACAACAGUCCUUUUGGUGCUCAGCGUGAGGCUGUGAUCAUAGAAUUAGAGGAUCAUAGAUUAGAGGAUCAUAGAACGGCUUGGAUUGAAAGGGACCUCAAAGAUUGACAGAUAAGACCACAGCAUGUUAAAAGAAAAUUGUAUAUGCGUGUUAUUAGUUUAGGAGUUGCUCAUUACAAUGCUGUUGUUGGGUGUCUUUUUGUUUGUUUGUUUGGUGUUUUUUUAAAUCAGACUUGUGCUUGUUCUCAGAGUUGUGUUAUGUAGCACCUUACUUUCUAUCUGUGUCCCUGUUGUGCUGUUGAUCGUCUCUGUGGGCUGGAUUAAGGUUAUCACUUUGCUGUACCGUGCCAACCUGUGUUAUAAUAUGAUAGAAGUACAAACUGUGAGGCUAAUCUGGUGUACAUACUCAGCAUUGCCAUCAUCUCUGUACUUUGGAAACAAUCUCUGAAACAUAUUAACAAUUACACUCUUCACCUCUUCUCAGCAGGGAACCAAUCUGCGAGAGAGAGGAGGGGAGAGACUUUCCCCUGCUUCUUCACCUUCCCCUUCUCCUCCAAUCAAGUUACAAUAGCUCUUGAGAAUCUUUAAUAUACUUGAGAUGUUCAAACCAACGUGUUCCUAUUGCUGUGUCUCCUGAAUGUGCUCCAGGUUUUAAGGUUAAGCAACUAUUUAUGUGUAUCACCCAGAGAUCUGCCCUAAGGCUGGAUGGUUAGGAGUGGUAGGGGGUGUGUGAAGAUAUGGGCAGGCACCUGGAACACCUGCAGUGUAUGCCAUCCCCUGUCAGUUCCAAAAAGACACUGCAACAUGCUAGGCUUUGGUCUAUGCCUAUCAAGCUGCACUCAUCCUAAAUCACAAACACAGCACCACACCAACUACUGGGGAGAAAAAAAAAUCACUCUACCCUCAUCUGAAACCAGGACAGUAGUAGCAGUGAGUGCUCUGUCUCUUUUCACUGCUCAAUAGAUCUGAACCUCAUGACAGGCAAAAAAAAGAGGCUGCACCAAGAUCUCCCCAUAAACUUCCGUG